rnacentral:rRNA from 1 species
CGUAGGGUGCGAGCGUUAAUCGGAAUUACUGGGCGUAAAGCGUGCGCAGGCGGUUAUAUAAGACAGAUGUGAAAUCCCCGGGCUCAACCUGGGAACUGCAUUUGUGACUGUAUAGCUAGAGUACGGCAGAGGGGGAUGGAAUUCCGCGUGUAGCAGUGAAAUGCGUAGAUAUGCGGAGGAACACCGAUGGCGAAGGCAAUCCCCUGGGCCUGUACUGACGCUCAUGCACGAAAGCGUGGGGAGCAAACAGGAUUAGAUACCCUGGUAGUCCACGCCCUAAACGAUGUCAACUGGUUGUUGGGUCUUCGCUGACUCAGUAACGAAGCUAACGCGUGAAGUUGACCGCCUGGGGAGUACGGCCGCAAGGUUG